UGGAAGCGUCUGGAAAGGCGCGCGAUACAGGGUGACAGCCCCGUACACAAAAAUGCACAUGCUGUGAGCUCGAUGAGUAGGGCGGGACACGUGGUAUCCUGUCUGAAUAUGGGGGGACCAUCCUCCAAGGCUAAAUACUCCUGACUGACCGAUAGUGAACCAGUACCGUGAGGGAAAGGCGAAAAGAACCCCGGCGAGGGGAGUGAAAAAGAACCUGAAACCGUGUACGUACAAGCAGUGGGAGCACGCUUCGGCGUGUGACUGCGUACCUUUUGUAUAAUGGGUCAGCGACUUAUAUUCUGUAGCAAGGUUAACCGAAUAGGGGAGCCGAAGGGAAACCGAGUCUUAACUGGGCGUUAAGUUGCAGGGUAUAGACCCGAAACCCGGUGAUCUAGCCAUGGGCAGGUUGAAGGUUGGGUAACACUAACUGGAGGACCGAACCGACUAAUGUUGAAAAAUUAGCGGAUGACUUGUGGCUGGGGGUGAAAGGCCAAUCAAACCGGGAGAUAGCUGGUUCUCCCCGAAAGCUAUUUAGGUAGCGCCUCGUGAAUUCAUCUCCGGGGGUAGAGCACUGUUUCGGCAAGGGGGUCAUCCCGACUUACCAACCCGAUGCAAACUGCGAAUACCGGAGAAUGUUAUCACGGGAGACACACGGCGGGUGCUAACGUCCGUCGUGAAGAGGGAAACAACCCAGACCGCCAGCUAAGGUCCCAAAGUCAUGGUUAAGUGGGAAACGAUGUGGGAAGGCCCAGACAGCCAGGAUGUUGGCUUAGAAGCAGCCAUCAUUUAAAGAAAGCGUAAUAGCUCACUGGUCGAGUCGGCCUGCGCGGAAGAUGUAACGGGGCUAAACCAUGCAC
rnacentral:rRNA from 1 species